rnacentral:rRNA from 1 species
CCUACGGGAUGCAGCAGUGGGGAAUAUUGGACAAUGGGCGAAAGCCUGAUCCAGCCAUGCCGCGUGUGUGAAGAAGGCCUUCGGGUUGUAAAGCACUUUCAGUGGGGAAGAAAGCCUUGGGGCUAAUACCCUCGAGGAAGGACAUCACCCACAGAAGAAGCACCGUCUAACUCCGUGCCAGCAGCCGCGGUAAUACGGAGGGUGCGAGCGUUAAUCGGAAUUACUGGGCGGAAAGCGCGCGUAGGCGGUCUGAUAAGCCGGUUGUGAAAGCCCCGGGCUCAACCUGGGAACGGCAUCCGGAACUGUCAGGCUAGAGUGCAGGAGAGGAAGGUAGAAUUCCCGGUGUAGCGGUGAAAUGCGUAGAGAUCGGGAGGAAUACCAGUGGCGAAGGCGGCCUUCUGGACUGACACUGACGCUGAGGUGCGAAAGCGUGGGUAGCAAACAGGAUUAGAUACCCUAGUAGUC